AUCGUGUGGUGGGGAAACUUAUGGAUGAGGUUUUCAAGUCUCUCCUAUGUUUCAUGAAAUAAUUCUCCAUCCAUCUGAAAAAAACUAGUGAUAGCUUUCCUAAUUU